GCACAGUGGUUAGCGCUCUUGCCUUAUAGCAAGAGGACCCAGGUUAAAGUCCUGG
rnacentral:tRNA from 1 species